CAAAGGAGAUCUAGGAAAUACAGAUAUAUUCAUCAACUCAGGCUCCGAUGCAGUCACAAACAAUACCGAACUCUCAGCGGUUUGCAGUGUAGGUUUAUUUCUUUUCACCCAGUGUGCCCACUGUGUAGUUCUGCUCCUUUUCAUCAUCAUAACUGGACUCAGGCUGGGGGAGCAUUCUUUAUCUGUGAAAUUGCCAGACUCGUGGCAGAGGGAAAAGAGAUGAUAGAACUCUCUCUUAAGUUUCCACCUUGGAAUGUCACAUGCCAUUGGCCAAAGCAAGUCACACGGUCACUUCUGAGUUUAACAAGGCAGAGAUGGAAAAUCCUCCCAUCGGAUGGGACAUCACAACUCAUAACCAAGCCUGACAUCAAUGGGGGUUGCUGUCUACCCAACAUCUGCAUCCUGACUUCCAUGGAGGUGUGACUCUCACAGGACAGGUGCUCAUGGAACAAGCUGUGAGGCAACCGGCUUCUGUUAGAGGUUCUGAGAACUGUCACUCGGCUCUAAGAAAAUCGCUUUGCAGUGUCUACCUUGCUCAGAUGGUAAAGUGUCUGCCUGUAGUGAGGGAGACCUGAGUUCGAUCCCUGAGUUGGGAAGAUCCCCUGGAGAAGGAACUGGCAACCCGAAAAAUCCCAUGGAUGGAGGAGCCUGGUGGGCUACAGUCAACAGGGUAGCAAAGACUUGGACUGAGUACAAGUCUCUUAGCAACUAUAUGGUUUGAAACUAUUUUCUCUUAUUCUGCUAGCUAUCUCUUCACUUUCUUGAUGAUGUCCUUUGCAGCACAAAUUUUAAAAAUUUUGACAAAGUCCAAUUUAUUUACUUUUUCUUCUAUUACUUUCGCUUUUAGUGUUUUUAUGUAAG
ensembl:lncRNA